rnacentral:rRNA from 1 species
UACGUAGGGUGCGAGCGUUGUUCGGAAUUAUUGGGCGUAAAGCGCUCGUAGGCGGUUUGUCGCGUCGACUGUGAAAACCCGAGGCUUAACCUCGGGCCUGCAGUCGAUACGGGCAGACUAGAGUUCGGUAGGGGAGAGUGGAAUUCCAGGUGUAGCGGUGAAAUGCGUAGAUAUCUGGAGGAACACCGGUGGCGAAGGCGGCAUCCUGGACCGAAAUUGACGCUGAGGCGCGAAAGCCAGGGGAGCAAACGGG